GAUGAACGCUGGCGGCGUGCUUAACACAUGCAAGUCGAACGGAACUAUCCCAAUGAGAGUCUUAGGAAAGGAUAAGGUUUAGGAUAGUGGCGGACGGGUGAGUAACACGUGGGUAAACUGCUCUAUACAGGGGGAUAACAGUUGGAAAGGAAUGUUAAUACCGAAUAAACGCACAGGAGCGCAUGCACCGGUGUGAAAAACUAAGGUGGUAUAGGAUGGACCCGCGUCUGAUUAGCUGGUUGGCGGGGUAACGGCACACCAAGGCGACGAUCAGUAGCCGGUCUGAGAGGGUGAACAGCCACACUGGGACUGAGACACGGCCCAGACUCCUACGGGAGGCAGCAGUGGGGAAUAUUGCACAAUGGGGGAAACCCUGAUGCAGCGAUGCCGCGUGAACGAAGAAGUUUCUCGGUAUGUAAAGUUCUUUCACCAGGGAAGAUAAUGACGGUACCUGACGAAGAAGCCCCGGCUAACUACGUG
rnacentral:rRNA from 1 species